rnacentral:rRNA from 16 species
UGCGGCUAGACGGAAAGACCCCGUGCACCUUUACUAUAGCCAUAUAUUGCAGUAAAAGUUUUUGUGUUUAGUAUAUGUGGGAAGUUGUUUGAUCUUUUUGCGCAAGCAAAUUAGUUAAACAUAAGUGAAAUACCACUCUCUUAAUCUUUUAUUUUGCUAAUUAGUUAAGACAUUGUAUGGUGGGUAGUUUGACUGGGGCGGUCUCCUCCCAAAGGGUAACGGAGGAGCACGAAGGUCUGCUGAUUACGGUCGGACAUCGUAAGGUCAGUGCAAUGGCAUAAGCAGGCUUGACUGCGAGAGCAACAACUCGAGCAGGUGCGAAAGCAGGUCAUAGUGAUCCGGUGGUACUGAAUGGAAAGGCCAUCGCUCAACGGAUAAAAGGACGGCGGGGAAAACAGGCUGA